AUUGAACGCUGGCGGCAGGCCUAACACAUGCAAGUCGAACGAGUGGCGGACGGGUGAGUAAUGUCUGGGAAACUGCCCGCUGGUGGGGGAUAACUACUGGACACGGUAGCUAAUACCGCAUACCAUCGGAUGAGCCCAGAUGGGAGUAGCUAGUAGGUGGGGUAACGGCUCACCCAGGCGACGAUCCCUAGCUGGGCUGAGAGGACGACCAGCCACACUGGAACUGGGACAUGGUCCAGACUCCUACGGGAGGCAGCGUUGGGGAAGAGUGCACAAUGGGCGCAAGCCUUAUGCAGCCAUGCCGCGUGUAUGAAGAAGGCCUUCGGGUUGUAAAGUACUUUCAGCGAGGAGGCGUUACUCGCAGAAGAAGCACCGGCGAACGCCGUGCCAGCAGCCGCGGUAAUAC
rnacentral:rRNA from 1 species